rnacentral:rRNA from 1 species
UAGGGAAUCUUCCACAAUGGGCGCAAGCCUGAUGGAGCAACACCGCGUGAGUGAAGAAGGGUUUCGGCUCGUAAAGCUCUGUUGUUAAAGAAGAACACGUAUGAGAGUAACUGUUCAUACAUUGACGGUAUUUAACCAGAAAGUCACGGCUAACUACGUGCUAG